UCUUUUUUCCAUCUCCUUCAGGACAUGCACCUCCCCACUCCUCCCUCCUUCCCUCCUUCUCUCUCACUCCUCUACUGAGGUAUUUAUUGAGCAUCUACUGUGUCCUGAGCAGUGUUGUAGACACUGGGGACUCAGCAGAGUCUCAGCUCUGUUGGAGUUCACAUUGGAAUAAAGGGAGACAGUCAAUACAUACAUCAAUGCAUACAAGAUGAUUGGGGAGAAAGAAGGGCACUGGCUAGAGGGACACUCCCCUGAGAAGGUGAGCUGGGGGCAAAGGCCAGGAUAGGACUGCUCACAGAGGGUAAGGACCAUAGCGAACUCACUCUUGCUUGGUGGUAAGGAGGGAAAGGCCCCAGAGAGGAGGACGGUGGCCUUGGAAAUUCAGGUAGCAUCUUACUGCCUCCCGCACCUCAUUGCCUUUGGCCCCAAACUCAAUGGCCUCCUCUGCUUAGUGGUUAGCCAACUACUAACUGCCUCAACUACUAACUGCCCGGUGCCUCAAUGCCUGCCCACCACACCCUCCAUGUUGCCCAGGGCUCAGCUGCACUUCAGCACUUAGGAGGCUAUGCCAGUGUCAAGAUGUCCCUACCCAUAACCUCAGUCAGACUGGCAUUGUGCAGGUGCAGCAUGAGUGGGUUCACAAGCUCCAGGGCCUCCAUGCACCUGCACCCUGGUGCUGCAAUGACAGUGCCGCUGCAGCAUGGAUGUGUUUUAUUCCCCUUCCUACCCAGCCAUCAGCAUAGCCUGCUCCAGGGCCUGUGGUUCACACAUUCACUAAACAUGUGUUGAGUGCAAGUGCAGGUUUUUUGGCAAAAUUGGGGUUACAUAUACAUGAUAUAAACCUUACCAUUUUAACCAUUUUUAAUGCACAGUUUGGUGGUAUUAAGUACAUUCACACUAUUGUGCAACCACCACCACCAUCCAUCUCCAGAAAAUUUGCCACGGUCCCCAGUGGAAACUCUGUCCCUUAUAACACCACGCCCCUCCUCCUCCAGCCCCUGGCAGCCACCAUUUGCUUUUUGUCUCUAUGAAUUGGACUCCUCUAGGUAUCUUAUAUACGUGGAAUCACACAGUAUUUGUCCUUUUGUGACCAGUUUAUUUCACUUAACAUAAU
rnacentral:lncRNA from 10 species